rnacentral:rRNA from 1 species
UACAGGGGGUGCAAACGUUGCUCGGAAUCAUUGGGCGUAAAGCGCACGUAGGCGGUUCGUUAUGUCGGAUGUGAAAGCCCUUGGCUUAACCGAGGAAGUGCAUCCGAAACUGGCGAGCUAGAGUACGAAAGAGGAUCGCGGAAUUCCCGGUGUAGAGGUGAAAUUCGUAGAUAUCGAGAAGAACACCGGUGGCGAAGGCGGCCAACUGGACGGUGACUGACACUGAGACACGAAAGCGUGGGGAGCAAACAGG